rnacentral:lncRNA from 13 species
CUGGGUUGAAAGUUCUUUUCUUUAAGAAUGUUGAAUAUUGGCCCCCAACUCUCUUCUGGCUUACAGUUUCCGCCAAGAGAUCUGCUGUGAAUCUGAUUGGCUUCCCUCUGUGGGUGACCUGACCUUUCUCUCUGGCUACCCUUAGCAUUUUUUCCUUCAUUUCGACCCUGGUGAUUCUGACAAUUAUGUGCCUUGGGGUUGCUCUACUUGAGGAAUAUCUUUGUGGAGUUCUCUGCAUUUCUUGAAUUUGAAAUUUGGACUGCCUUGUGAGACUUGGGAAGUUCUCCUGGUCAAUAUCCUGGAGUGUGUUUUCCAGCUUGGAUUCAUUCUCCCCAUCAUAUUCAGGUACACUGAUCAAGUAUAGAUUAGGUUUUUUCACAUAAUCCCAUAUUUCCUGGAGGCUUUGUUCAUUUAUUUUCACUCUUUUUUCUCUUGUAUUGCCUUCUCUUUUUAUUUCAUUGAGUUGAUCUUUGAUCUCUGAUAUCCUUUCUUCUGCUUGAUCGAUUUGGCUAUUAAAACUUGUGUUUGCCUCACAUAGUUCUUGUCCUGUGUUCUUCAACUUCAUCAAGUUGUUUAUGUUCUUCUCUAAGCUGGUUAUUCUAGUUAGCAUUUCAUCUAAUAUUUUAUCAAGGUUUUUGGUUUCUUUGCAUUGAGUUAGAAUGUGUUCCUUUAGCUCUGAAAAGUUUGUUAUUAUCCACCUUCUGAAUCCUGUUUCCAUCAAUUCUUCGCACUCCUUCUUGGUCAAGUUGUGAUCCUAUGUUGUUGAGGAGUUGUAAUCCCUUGAAGGAGAAGAGGUAUUCUGGCCUUUGGUGGUUUCAUCUUUUUUGUGCCGGUUUUUUCCCAUCUUUGUGGAUUUACCUGACUGUAGUGUCAGAGAGCUGCUUGAUGAGGUUGCUUGUCUACCUGUGGGGGCGCUAUUGGGUUUCUAGGGACUCUUUCAGGUUACUAGGGAAGCUUCCUGUGUCUUUUGUUUAUGCUGGGAGAUUAGGCCCGCCUCUUCUGCUCACCUGUAGGUGCUGCUGGGUUGUCAAGAACGCCAUCCUGUUGCUACGCGAGGGCAGGAGGCAAUAUCUCAGUCUGCAGACUCUUAUUCAACUCCUCACUUGUAAUUCCUGGCGCUUGACUGGCAAAGAUCCCUGUUCUGUGUAUUGCUGAGGCUUUGAGGGAAGCGCAGUAUCUGGACCGGAGCACCAGAGGUGGAGCCUCCAACUCGCAGGUCAGAUGCACUUUCUGGGUGAAGCAGCGCCCCUCCUGCCUCGGUCUGCCCUGAGUGGGCUUUGCUUACCCGUGGACCAGACCUGUUGAAAUGCAACUGGUACCUCGAUUGAAGCUAGGAGAUCUCUGGGUUUCUGCAUCUCUCUCGCUGGAUGUAGUGCACUGGGGUUGUGUCUAAUCCACCACCUUGGAUCCUCUGAUCUACUUCUCUACAUGUUUUGAUUUCAAACUCAUCUUAUUUUCUUUUUCACUUUGGCCAUUCUUUCAAAUUUAUAAAGGUAUGGCUUGCAAGGAACUUUCAUUAAAUGACUUUAUUGACUAUAAUUUUUUUCCUUAAAGAAAAGAACAAGCUGAAAACCACACUUUCUUAAAGUAGGUAUUUUGCCUUUCUAACUAUAGUUUCAUAAUGGGUAUCUUUGGAGUAAGAUCAAUGACCAAAAUUUAAUCCUAUAAGUAAAAGUUUCA